GCCAAAGAGCAAUAGGGAGCAGUGGAGACUGGGGCAAAUUGGAAAGCACAGCCCCCUCUAAAAGAAGAUGUGUUAGAACAGGGGCCCCGCAUGGCAACAUCUCCUGAAAAUGUUUCCAGAGAAGCCAGAUGUCUGGAUUUUUACAAAUGAAACCAUCCAUAUGUGUUUGAAAUUGUUUAACACUGGCAUAUGAAGUUGUUUAACAUUGGCAACUAAAAAGCAAACAUUACGUGAACCCAAGAAAACUGGCUGGAGUGACAGCAACUCACUGGAUCUAGAUCAAAUCUUCCACUUUACAGGUAGGCGUUCUCAGAACAGCAGCCUCAGCAUCACCUGGGAGCUUGUUAGCAAUGCAGAUUCUCAGGCCAAUCUCACACCUUUGAUUCAGAAGAUUUGGAAUGGCAGACUGGCGAUGUGGGAAAGUGCAUCCUGUCUACCCUUAGCUUAUAAGGGGAACAAAUGGAGCUGUAUUAUAAUCACCUGUUUGCUGCUCUCUAAAAAUAGUAGACACCUAAAUGACAUCA